rnacentral:rRNA from 1 species
UACGAAGGGGGCGAGCGUUGUUCGGAUUUACUGGGCGUAAAGGGCGCGCAGGCGGCUAUCUUUGUCAGGCGUGAAAGCCCCGGGCUCAACCUGGGAAUUGCGCUUGGGACGGGUUGGCUUGAGAUCGGGAGAGGAGAGUGGAAUUCCCAGUGUAGAGGUGAAAUUCGUAGAUAUUGGGAAGAACACCGGUGGCGAAGGCGGCUCUCUGGACCGACACUGACGCUGAGGCGCGAAAGCGUGGGGAGCAAACAGG